GGACUUCUGAAUGCGGACAGGUGCCUGGCAAUGUCGGGUCCCAAACCGGGGCUGCUGGGAUCAGUACUGCCAAGCACAGACGGAGCCAGUAGUGACCAAACCUGGGUCGGCCUUCCUGGAGCCCCCUUUUGUAUGAGGCUCAUCCUUAGACCCUGCUGUUAGCGAGAGUUCUGAUCGAGCCCCUGAGAGUGUUUACAGGACACACAGCCACCCAAGGAGCUGCUAGAGUUCCCAGCCUCCUUGCAGCUCUGUGUGAAAAGGAGUGAUCUGAACACUUGGAGCUGAAGCAGUGUGACCUUGAGCUUCUCUUUCCUCCUCCCCUUGUGCCAACACGUGGACGCAGGUGAAGGAGGUGGAGCCUAACCCACUGUGUCAGUGUAUGCUGUGGGUGGUGAGUGCCUUCCAAAGAAGACAGAAUGGAAGCGGGAAAAGAGACAGAGUGGAGAAAACUGACAGACUGCUUCAACCAGGAUUUGAAUUCCGCUGAGAAAGAGACUCGGGACCCAGACUGAAGGAGAGGAGACGUGGCCUCGUUUUGCGGCAAGUGGCAUGCUGUCUGUCUCCUGGAUAGAAAUUCCUCCACUCACAGCUGGCCUCCCCUGCGGUCAGAACUUGCCCUGCUAAGCUCCCAGCAUACCAGCAAGCAGACCAGGAUUGGAAGCAGGAAAUAGCCCUGGAGCCCCUAUCAUUUGAAAUGGAAACAAGGGUUCUGUAGCCCAGUUUUAGAAAUUCUUCUGUUUCUUGCGUAGCUCUCCACAGUAUCGGCUGAAAUUCCUUUCGUACCAGAAGCCUUCAUCAGAAGUGCUGGUUUCAAAACACAGACCAUAUCGCCAUAGGUUUUGGAGUGAGGUGAUGGUCACUGGUGAAAAGUGCAGGCAUCUAGAGACAGUAACACCACUUAUGGUGAGCUGUCACUGUCAUGCAAAAAUCAGAAUUAGUGAAAUCAACUGCUCCCUGGCAAAGCACCGUGAAGAUGGUUUUCUCCU
rnacentral:lncRNA from 1 species